rnacentral:rRNA from 1 species
AUUGAACGCUGGCGGCAGGCCUAACACAUGCAAGUCGAACGAGUGGCGGACGGGUGAGUAAUGGCUGGGAAACUGCCUGAUGGAGGGGGAUAACUACUGGAAACGGUAGCUAAUACCGCAUAACAUCAGCUGGGCCCAGAUGGGAUUAGCUUGUUGGUGGGGUAACGGCUAACCAAGGCGACGAUCCCUAGCUGGUCUGAGAGGAUGACCGGCCACACUGGAACUGAGACACGGUCCAGACUCCUCCGGGCGGCAGCAGUGGGGAAUAAUGCACAAUGGGCGCAGUCCUGAUGCAGCAAUGCCGCGUGUAUGAAGAAGGCCGUCGGGUUGUAAAGUACUUUCAGCGGGGAGGCGUUACCCGCAGAGGAAGCACCGGCUAACUCCGUGCCAGCAGCCGCGGUAAUUC